rnacentral:rRNA from 1 species
UACAGAGGUCCCAAGCGUUGUUCGGAUUCACUGGGCGUAAAGGGUGCGUAGGCGGUCGGGUAAGUCUGACGUGAAAUCUUCAAGCUUAACUUGGAAACUGCGUCGGAUACUAUUCGGCUGGAGGAAUGGAGGGGAGACUGGAAUACUUGGUGUAGCAGUGAAAUGCGUAGAGAUCCGGAGGAACACCAGUGGCGAAGGCGACACGCUGGGCCGUACCUGACACUGAUGCGCGACAGCAUGGGGAGCAAACAGG